UGGACGAGGACAAAACAUGACAGCUAUAAAUGAACUGGGGACACAUGAUUGCUUAAAAUAACCUUCAUCUUCAGCAAAUCAGUACAUCCGCUUUCCUUUUUCUUUUUUUUUCAUUUUUGCAGUGGAGAUCCGCUGGGUUUGGGAACUGAGAUUGUUCGCCUUCAGGCAAGCCUAAGCCCAAAAGCAGAGGAUAACUUCACCCCAGUGCCUUUCCAAAAUGAUUCAAAGGUAACGAUCACUUGGAUCAAAUCCUAGGAAACCUAGGGCUGAUGAAGUUUGGAGCUACAACGUGCUUUUAAGUAAACAUAUGCUUUAACUUGGAAGGAAAUAUGUCAUGGAAAUAUCCAACAGACUAGAGAAAGAAUUAAAAGGCUGAAGAGACAUUUGGUAGUAGAAUCUGCGUGCUUAAUGAGGGUGCAGGGCUCAGAGAGGCUGAACUGACUGCAGCAAUGCCGAAGGAAGAGGAAGCAGAGAGGGGCGAUGACCUCGUUCCAGGGUUCCUCAGGUCUUUCUUGACCGCCAACCGACUCAGCUGGGUCACUGGAUUCCCAACUCGGCAGGCUGGAUUUGUAAACGCAGGGUUUGACAGAUGGCUUCCGAAUUGUAGCGGUAACUGGCUUCAUUUUGAAUUCAGGUGCUUUUAUGGAACUCUGCAGGAGCGUUGGCUGUACAGGCAAGGCAGAUGGGUGAGUCAAUGGCUGUGACUAUGGUGUUUUUGAAGGAAAUGCCUAUCUGAUGCAGGUAAGCAGCACCCUGCUGUGGGACGAUACACGUUUUUCAGCAGCCGCUGCUGGUUGUGAACGCUAGGUGUUGCAGGCUUCCAGGCUCACGCUUUGCCAUGUUCAGCCCCAGCGGCCAGCCGGGUUUCAGCAUGCAGACAUGCGCAAAAAGCAACCGCACACUAAGUUCUGCUCCCAUCACAUGAAUUGUGGAUGUGAGCAGCUCCUGUUCGUGACAGCAGGAGUUCCCCUUGCUUGGUCCUGUUAGUAAGAAGUGAAAACACUUCUUUUUAAUACUUUGAAUUUUUGCGGCUUUCUUCCAUUACCUCAUACAAUUAAAACUAGGAUUAAAAAAAGAUCACGUUUUGCAUUGUCUUGAAACAAUGCUACUGAGGUUUCAUACAUUACUAUAAAGUCAUGCCACACAAUCAGUGUUUUCACUCUUGUAUGCCAUUUAGGGAGAGUAAGUCUAACAUAUAUCGUUUAAAAUGGGUUGUUCUUGUCUCUAUAAUUUCACUUGUUCUUAGGUAGAGCAGGACCAAGAAAGGGGGCUGUGAAUAGAUCACUUGCUAGUGUAACGCCCCACCACUGAUGUUGGUUUGCCAGCAAGGCUCAGACCAGAGCAUCCUUUAAAAUAAAAACUGCUAAGAAACGAACA
rnacentral:lncRNA from 1 species